rnacentral:rRNA from 1 species
UACGAAGGGGCUAGCGUUGCUCGGAAUCACUGGGCGUAAAGGGCGCGUAGGCGGGUCCGGUCAAGUCGAUCGUGAAAUCCUUCGGCUACAACGUGAAGGGGGUCGGUCGAUGACUGCGGGUCUUGAGGGAUGCAGAGGAGACGUGGAAUUCCGGUGUAGCGGUGAAAUGCGCAGAUAUCAGGAGGAACACCGGUGGCGAAGGCGGGACUCUGGGCCGAUACUGCGCUGAGGAGCGAAA